rnacentral:rRNA from 1 species
UACGUAGGGGCAAGCGUUGUCCGGAAUCAUUGGGCGUAAGAGCGUGUAGGCGGUCCGGUCAGUCGGUUGUGAAAGUCAAGGGCUCACCCUUGAAUGCCGGCCGAUACUGCCGGGCUAGAGUCCGGAAGAGAUGAGUGGAAUUCCUGGAUGUAGCGGUGAAAUGCGCAGAUAUCAGGAGGAACACCGGUGGCGAAGGCGGGUCUCUGGGCCGAUACUGACGCUGAGGAGCGAAAGCGUGGGGAGCGAACAGG